GCCAGGCGCAGUAGGGUAUUCCUGUAGUCCCAGCUACUCAGGAGGCUGAGACUGGAGGAUCGCUUGAGUCCAGGAGAUCCGGACUAUAGUCUGCUAUGCUGAUCAGGUGUCCACACUAAGUUUAGCAUCAAUAUGGUGACCUCCUGGGAGCAGGGGACCACCAGGUUGCCUAAGGAGGGGUGAACCGGCCCAGGUCAGAAACAGAGCAGGUCAGAACUCCCGUGCUGAUCAGUAGUGGGAUAGUGCCUGUGAAUAGGCACUGCACUCCAGCCUGGGCCACAAAACAAGAUCCCGUCUCUA
ensembl:misc_RNA Metazoa_SRP Metazoan signal recognition particle RNA